UCCCGCCCCGCCCCCGGCGGCGGAACCCCGCCCCCUGGGCGCAGUCGGCCCGGUCGCCGCCAUUUUGGGAAGGUCGACGGCCGGCGGCCAGCCCAAGUCGCGGACGCCAUGACAAAGAGGUCGCAGAGGGUCAAGACACAGCCUCUGGAUAGAAGCCGUGGAUACGGGAGCGGGAGUGAAGGCGCCGAAAGAAGUGGCUGGAGCGCCAUGAUCAUAGCUCACUGCAGCUUGGAACUCCUGGGUUUAAAGGAUCCUCCCAUCUGAGUCUCCUUAGUAUCUGGGAUUACAGUAAUGUUCAGCUGCUCAGGUGCAGUUAUGACUGAUAGCUGGGUUCACUCAGGCUUAAGGAUCAGCCAGGCAAGUAAACUGGAGAGGGAGGGAGAUAAACAGCCAAGUUUGUUGACAGCGUUUGGAGAGAAGGGUUGUACAGUCAUGCACUAUUCUCUAAGCUCAGAAGAGAAGAGGGAACGGGAGGGAAAUGAUGUUCUGGUACCCAGAACAGGGUCUUGGGGUGGAAGAGCUGCAUGGUGUGAACACUAAAGCCAGUAAGCUAGCAGGAGAAAAAAUGGUGGUCAGGUACGUGUCUGGAAACUGAGAAUCAGGGUGUGGUGUGGUUUUGGGUGACGAGACUGUCUCAUGGGAACAUAGGCCAGCAGGUGGGAAGGGGAGGAGAGGAAGUCAAGUGGGUGACAGGCAUGGGUACUGAUGGGUCACCCACAUGAGUAAUUAGGUCCCCAGGAGGGCUGGAGUAGAAGGAAGACAAGGGCUGUGAGCCAGGAAGCACAGUCCAUGAUGAGUGGGUCUGAGGGUCACAGCACCAAAGCAAGUGCUGCAGCUGACGGCAUUAACUUCAAACCAGCUAGGGGCUGACUGGGCGCGGCAGCUCACACCUGUGAUCUCCAAACUUUGCGAAGCCAAGAAUGAGCAGAUCACUUGAGUCCAGCAGUUUAACCAGCCUGGCCAACAUGGUGAAACCCCGUCUCUACUGAAAAUAUAAAACUUAGCCAGUUAUGGUGGUGGGCACCUGUAAUUCCAGCUACUCAGGAGGCUGAAGCAGGAGAAUCAAUUGAACCUGGGAGGCGGAGGCUACAAUGAGCCAAGAUCAUGCCACUGCACUCCAGUCUCAGUGACAGAGCCAGACUCAGUGUCAAAAAAAAAACAACAAAAAAGGCUGGGCACAUUGUCUCACUCCUGUAAUCCCAGCAGGUUGGGAGGCUGAGGUCAGGAGUUCUAGAGCAGCCUGGGCAACAUGGUAAAAUCCCGCCUCUACUAAAAAUACAAAAAUUAGGCCGGGUGCGGUGGCUCAUGCCUGUAAUCCCAGCACUUUGAAAGGCCAGAGCGGGUGAAUCACAAGGUCAGGAGUUCAAGACCAGCCUGACCAACAUGGUGAAACCCCAUCUCUACCAAAAAUACAAAAAAUUAGCUGGGCAUGGUGACAGGCACCUAUAAUCACAGCUACUCAAGAGACUGAGGCAGAGAAUUGCUUGAACCCGGGAGGCAGAGGUUGCAGUCAGCUAAGAUAACACCACUGCACUCUAGCCUGGGUGACAAAGCGAGACUUCAUCUCAAAAAAAAAAAAAAAAAUUAGCUGGGCAUGGUCCACUUGGGAGGCUGAGGCAGGAGGAUUGCUUGAACCCAGGAAGCAGAGGUUGCAGUGAGCCAAGAUCUCCCCACUGCAAUUUAGCCUGGGCAAAAGAGCAAGACUCUGUCUCAAAACACAGAAAAAAAAAAAAAAGGAAAAAAUUUUAAAAAGCUAGGGCCCAGGUGCAGUGGCUCACAAGUGUAAUCCCAACACUCUGGGAGGCCAAGCAGGAAAAGAUGGCUUCAGGCCAAGAGUUUGACAAGCUGCUUGUUUUUCUUUUGAGAUGGAGUCUCACUCUGUCGCCCAGUCUGGAGUACAAUGGCAGGAUCUUGGCUCACCACAGUCUCUGCCUCUGGGUUCAGGCAUCUCCUUCUGAGUAGCUGGGACUACAUGCCAGGCCAAUUUUUGUGUUACUAGUAGAGUCACGGUUUCACCGUUGGCCAGGCUGGUCUCGAACUCCUGAUCUUAGGUCAUCUGCCCGCCUUGGCCUCCCAAUGAGCUGGGAUUACAGGCAUGAGCCACCAUGCCUGGUGAAGACCCUGUUUCUAAAAGAAACAAAAAAAUUGGCCAGGUGUGGUAGCUCAUACCUGUAAUCCAGUACAUUGGGAACCCGAGGUGGGUGGAUAACUUGAGUUUGGGAGUUUGAGACCACCCUGGCCAAUGUAGUGAAACUUCAUCUCUACUAAAAAUACAAAAUUUGGCCAGGCACAGUGGCUCACACCUGUAAUCCCAGCACUUUGGGAGGCCGAGGUGGGCAGAUCAUGAGGUCAGGAGUUCCAGACCAGCCUGGCCAACAUAGGGAAACCCCUUCUCUACUAAAAAUACGAAAAUUAGCCGGGCAUGGUGGCAGGCACCUGGAGUCCCAGAUACUUGGGAGGCUUUGGUGGGAGAAUCGUGUGAACCCUGGAGGCAGAGUUUGCACUGAGCCGAGAACACACCAUUGCCCUCCAGCUUGGGUGACAGAGUAAGACUCUGUCUCAAAACAAAACAAAAAAGCUAGAAUUAGGGGAAGGAAAAGGAGGAGAAAGGGUUGAAAAAGUUAAGACUCAACAAUGGGGAACGAGGAGAAUAUGCUACAUCUGCUGGCUUUGAGAGAAGAGACAGCUUUCCCUUGAGGGGAAUCCUCAGAAAAGAGCCAAGUUCAGGUAAGGUUAGCAAGGGGGGAAGAGUCCCAUUAACACCUUAAACUGCCCACAACCAAACUCUCUGUCUUCUCCCCAGUCCUACUCUGCCAUAACCAAUGAUAUCCAGUCACCUUGGUCAGAAGGAGGAAAGUCACCCUUGAUGCUCCCUCCUCUCUCUUCUACAUCUCAUGGAUCACCAAGGCCUCAAUGUUCUUGUGGACACUCUUAAUCCAGGUCUGGGUGACUGCCACGACCUCCCUUAGGACCUCUUCCCUCCCUCCUUCAUCUGUUCUCUGCAGCCACAGCAAAACAUUCAAAAAUACAAAUCUGCCAGACACAGUGGCUCAUGCCUGUAAUCCCAGCAGUUUUGGGAGGCUGAGGCACAUGGAUCACUUGAGGUCAGGAGUUCAAGACCAGCCUGGCCAAGAUGGUGAAACCUCGUCGCUACUUAAAGUGCAAAAAUUAGCUGGGCAUGGUGGUGGGCACCUGUAAUCCCAACUACUUGGGAGGCUGAGGCAGGAGAAUUGCUGGAACCCAGGAGGUGGAGGUUGCAGUGAGCCGAGAUCGCAGCACAGCCCUCCAGCCUGGGUGACAGAGCAAGACUCCGUCUCAAAACAAAAAAAAAAUCUGUUAUGGUUCUGUUCCUAUUGAAAACUCUUCAGGAGCCUCCCACUGUUUUAGGAUGAGGUCCAUGCUCCCCAUUUUUGUUUUUUGUUUUUGUUAUUUUUGGGGGAUAGAGUCUCAUUCUGUUGCUGAGGUUGGCAUGCAGUGGUGAGGUCUAUGCUCACUGCACCCUCUGCCUCCUGGAUUCAAGUGAUUCUCCCACCUCAGCCUCCUGAGUAGCUGCGAUUACAGACGUGCUCCACAGUGCUGGGCUAAUUUUAGUAUUUUUAGUAGAGAUAGGAUUUCACCAUGUUGGCUAGGAUGGUCUCAGACUCCUGAUCUCAAGUGAUCGCCUGCCUCAGCCUCCUAAAGUGCUGGGAUCACAGGUGUGAGCCACCAUGCCUGGCUCCAUUUUUUAUUUAAUGCCUUACCUUCACAGUCUAGUCUCCAGGGAUGCUCUGGCCUCAUCCUGACACUCUAUACUUCUGACACACUACACUUCUUUCCUUCCUCCCAAAGGUCUUUCCUUCUGCUGUUCCGGUAGCUUAAACUGUCUUCUCUGCUAGAUGUAUGUGGUUCAUACCUGCUAAUCCGUCUUUGCAAUUCUUGAAAGAAGCAAACUUCCUCCAAAAUACCUUUCACAAUCUCUAAUCUUAUCUUCCCUGUUUCCUCCAGCAUGUAUUACAUCUCUUAUCCUAGCAUUUGUCAUCUCGUCCUGCAAUUGAUCAGUUUUCUUUUCUGUAUAUAAGCUUGUGAUGCCAGGACUCUCUUUCAUGUCUUUGUUCUCAGAGCUUAAUGUUGCUACAGAGUAGCACCUAACAAAUAUCUCUUGAAUGAACUAAUGAAUCCUAUAAAAUUAAUAACAGGGGAAUUUGUCAAGAUUACUGUAGGACUAUGCUUAUUAAAUUUGGUAUUCCGGUUUAUGCACCUGUCAGAGGGUGGUACUAAAUGGUGUGCCUCAUGGUUUUUUUUUAAUCCAAAAUAAAGUUAGUAAAGUUAAUAGAGGCUUAUUAUAUGUUCUUGACAAUACAGAAUAAGCCACUGUUAACUUUACUAACUUUUUUAUGUUAAAAAAGUAAAAAAUAAUAAUGAAAAGCAAAUAAGCCAGAUGUGAUGGCCCAUCACUGUAAUCCCAGCAUUUUGAGAAGCUGAGGCAGGCAGAUUGGGUAAGCUCAGGCCUUCGAGGUGAAACCCCAUCUCUACUACAAAUACAAAAAGUUAGCUGGGUGGGCGCCUGUAAUCCCAGCUACUCAGGUGGCUGAGGAAGGAAAAUUGCUUGAAGCUGGGAGGUAGAAGUUGCCAUGAGCUGAGAUCUCAUCACUGCACUCCAGUCUGGGCGACAGAAUGAGACCCAGUCAAAAAAAAAGGAAAUAUACAACUUUUGUUGUUGUUGUUGAGACGGAGUUUCGCUCUUGUUACCCAGGCUGGGGUGCAAUGGCACGAUCUCGGCUCACCGCAACCUCUGCCUCAUGGGUUCAAGCAAUUCUCCCACCUCAGCCUCCUGAGUAGCUGAGAUUGCAGGCAAGCGCCACCAUGCCCAGCUAAUUUUUGUAUUUUUAGUAGAGACGGGGUUUCACCAUGUUGACCAGGAUGGUCUCAAUCUCUUGACCUCAUGAUCUACUUGCCUCAGCCUCCCAGAGUGCUGGGAUUACAGGCUUGAGCCACCGUGCCCGGUGGAAAUAUACAAUUUUAAUGCUUAUACUAAGCAAUAAAGUUGGACCCCCUACCUUAUACAAAAAAAAAAAACCAAAAUGGAUCAAAGACAUAAAUACAUAAAUGUGAGAACUAAAACUAUAAACCUCUCAUAAAAAUAUAUACAAGGCUGGGCGCAGCAGCUCAUGCCUGUAGUCCCAGGACUUUGGGAGACCUAGAUGGAAGGAUUCCCAGAGGUCAGGAGUUUGAGACCAGCUGGCCAACAUAGUAAAACUCCAUCACUACUAAAAAUACAAAAAUUAGCUGGGCAUGCUGGCUCGUGCCUGUAAUCCUAGCUAUAGGAGGCGGAGGCAGGAGAAAUGCUUGAACUCAGGAGAUGGAGGUUGCCCUCCAGCCUGGGUGACAGAUCGAGACAAAAAAAAGAGAGAGAGAAAGAAAAUAGGAUACCUGCAAAGACUGAGUAGGAAAGAUUAGCUAAGGUGGUCAGGGAAAGCUUUUCCAAGGUGGUGACAUUUGAAAUGAGACCAAAUGGUGAGAAGGAGGAAGCCAUGUGAUGUUUGGGGAAGAGUGAUUCAGGCACAGGGACCAGCAGGGAGAAGACCCUGAGAGUGGUAUAAGAACAUAAGGAAAGUUUGUGAGGUGCAGGUGAAAGAAAUGGGUAGGAACAGCAGGGACAGAGAGAAGAGACAAGCCUACGUAUGCUUUCUAAGCCAAGGUGAGUAAUGGAUUUUUUUUUCCCAGAGAUGGAGUCUUGCUGUGUUGCCCAGGCUGAAGUGCAGUGGUGUGAUCAACCUCUGCCUCCUGGAUACAAACGAUUCUCCUGCCUCAGCCUCCUGAGUAGCUAGGAUUACAGGCACCCGCCACCACCCUUGGCUAAUUUUUGUAUUUUUAGUAGAGACUGACUUUCACCAUGUGGGUCAGGCUGGUCUGGAACUCCUGACCUCAGGUGAUCCGCCCACCUUGGCCUCCCAAAGUGCUAGGAUUACAGGUGUGAGCCCCUGCGCCUGGCCUCACAUGGCGUAUUUCUUGAACACUUCCUGUGGCUGGGCUUUCAGGGCUGCAUGUGUCUAUCUCAUUCAUUUUAGUGACUUCAUAGCAUUUCAUUGUAUUCACUGCAAUUUAUUUAUUUAUUUAUUGCGAUGGAGUAUCGCUCUGUUACCCAGGCUGGAGUCUCCCAGGUUCAAGUGAUUCUCCUACCUCAGCCUCCUGUGUAGCUGGGACCGCUGGCACACACCACCACAUCUGACUAACUUUUUGUUGUUGUUGUAUUUCUAGUAGAGACGGAGUUUGGCCAUGUUGGCAAGGCUGGUCUGGAACUCUUCAUCUCGUGAUCUGCCGUCCUCGGCUUCCCAAAGUGCUGGGAUUAUAGGCAUGAGUCACCAUGCCCUGCCGCCUGGCUAAUUUUUGUAUUUUUAUUAGAGUUGGGGUUUCACCAUGUUGGUCAGGCUGGUCUUGAACUCCUGACCUCAUGAUCCAUCUGCCUCAGCCUUCCAAAGUGCUGGAAUUACAAGGAUGAGCCACCACUCCCAGCCAUACUUUUUCAAUUACAAAAAAAUUUUUUUUUCUGACAUGAGGUCUCACUACAUUGCCCAGGUUGGGCUUGAACUGCUGAGCCCAAGUAAUCCUCCCUCCUUGGCCUCCCGAAGUGCUAGGAUUACAGGCAUGAGUAAUGAUUACAGGCACCCAGUCCUGUUAUGACUUUUUCAUCAUCAGAAACAACUCCAAGGAAGCAGAUGUAGCUCUUUAGAGUGACCAGGGUGGCAACAGUUCCUGGUGUGCCAUAGGUGACAUAGGCAGAAAACACAACUUCUGCGUGGAAGUCAGCCUCCGUCAGCCAGUGACUGAAGACAAUGGCUCAUAAAGGGCUUGGGAUUCCUGACCUUGAAAGGCAGGAGGGUGAUUAAAAGCAAUCACACUGUGGUAAGGGCAACCCCCUGACUUCUGUGGCUCAGGGCAUUGAUGUUUGAUGCCACUCUUCCAGGUCCACAGACAUGCUGUGAGCAGAAAAGCCCAGACUCUUGGUGUCAGCCCAGAUUGCAGAAGCCGAAGAAGUAAUGGGGCUCUUUUUGGCUGCUGUGAUGACAGCCAAGGCUUCUUCCUCCUGGCACACAGGGAGGGUCCCUUCCGGGGCCAACAGGUGUCUACUUUUUUUUUUUUUUUUUUUUUGAGAUGGAGUUUCGCUCUUGUUUCCCUGGCUGGAGUGCAAUGGCAAGAUCUCGGCUCACUACAACCUCCACCUCCCUAGUUCAAGCGAUUCUCCUGUCUCAGCCUCUCAAGUAGCUGGGAUUAUAGGCCCCCACCGCCACUCCCAGCUAAUUUUUGAAUUUUUUUUUUUAGUAGAGACAGGGUUUGGUUGGCCAGGCUGGUCUCAAGCUCCUGACCUCAGGCAAUCUGCCUGCCUUGGCCUCUCAAAGUGCUGGGAUUACAGGCAUGAGCCACUGCGCCCGGCUUUAUUUAUUUAUUUGUUUAUUUGAGACAGAGUCUCACUCUGUCACCCAGGCUGGAGUGCAGUGGCCCAAUCUCGGCUCACUGUAACCUCCGCCUCCUGGGUUCAAGCAAUUCUCUUUCUCAGCCUCCCGAGUAGCUGGGAUUAUAGGCACCCACCACCACGCCCAGCUAAUUUUUUUGUAUUUUUAGUAGAGACGGGGGUUUCACCAUCGUGGCCAGGCUGGUCUUGAACUCCUGACCUUGUAAUCCACCCACCUCAGCCUCCCAAAGUGCUGGGAUUACAGGCGUGAGCCCCUCUGCCCAGCUCUAUUUUUUUUUUUUUUUUUUUUUGAUUGCCCAGCACUGGCUAGUGAGAGAUAGUACCUGUGCUGAAAUUGCUGAUUUACUAAUCUCCUUUCCCCAAAUGGCAGUGCUGAGACUGAAGGCUGGCUCUGAAAUGUUGACAGCCUCACCUCCUGCCUGUCCACUCAGUUUUGUCAUGUAAUAAAAGGGAAAUACAACCUCACAGGAUUAUUGUGAAGAUAUAAUGAGAAAAUGCAGACAAAGGCUCAGCAGAGGCCGAGGCCUAGGUGGGCGGAUCACGAGGUCAAGAGAUUGAGACCACCCUGCCAACAUAGUGAAACCCCGUCUCUACUAAAAUACAAAAAAAAUUAGCUGAGCGUGGUGACGCAUGUCUGUACUCCCAGCUACUCAGGAGGCUGAGGCAGGAGAAUUGCUUGAACCCGGGAGGCGGAGGUUGCAGUGAGCCGAGAUUGCGCCACUGCACUCCAGCCUGGUGCCUGGUGACAGAGCAAGACUCUGACUGAAAAAAAAAAAAGGCUCUGCAGAAUACUUGGCAUGUCAUAGUUACUCAGAAAUCCCCUUCUUGCUUUCAAGGCUUAACGUACAUAUUGUCUUUUUUUUAGAGACAGAGUCUCACUCUGUCACCUAGGCUGUGGUACAGUGGCACCAUCACAGCUCACUGCAGCCUUGACAUCCUGGGCUCGCAUGAUCCUCCCACCUCAGCCUCUGGAGUAGCUGGGACUACACGCAUGUGCCCCCACACCUGGCUAAUUUUUAGAUUUCUUUUUUUUUUUUUUUUUUUUUUUUUAAGACAGAGUCUUGUGCUGUCGCCAGGCUGGAGUGCAGUGGCUCCAUCUCAGCUCAAUGCAGCCUCUGCCUCCCUGGUUCAAGCAAUUUUCCUGCCUCGGCUUCCCAAAGUGCUGGGAUUAUAGGCAUGUGCCACCACACCCGACCACAAAUAUCAGAUUUUUUUGCACAGCCAGGAGUCUCACUAUGUUGCGUAGGCUGAUCUUGAACUCCUGGCCUCAACUGGUCCUCCAGCCUCAGUCUCCCAAGUCUUUGGGAUCAUAAGCAUGAACCACUGAGCCUGACCUCACAAAUACCGUCUUAUACAUUAAAUUUCUUUAAUACCUCACCCCACCUAGACCUCAAGUCAGCUCUUUUUGGGAAUCCCAAGACUUUUUGCCCAUUCUUUUGUUUUUUUGUUUUUGUUUUUUAUUGAGAGAGAGUCUCGUUCUGUGACCCAGGCUGGAGGGCAGUGGCGCAAUCUCGGCUUAUUGCAACCUCCGCCUCCCAGGUUCAAUCAAUUCUCUUGCCUCAGGCUCCCAAGUAGCUGAGAUUACAGGCAUCCGCCACCAUGCCCUGCUAAUUUUGUAUUUUUAGUAGAGACAGAGUUUCACCCUCUUGGCCUGGCUGGUCUUGAACUCCUGAACUCAGGUAAUCCACCUGCCUCAGCUUCCCAAAGUGCUGGGAAUAUAGGCUUGAGCCAUUACACCUGGCCAAGCUUCACAUUUCUAAGGAACAGUUCCUUUUUUUUUUUUUGAGACAGGAUCUCACUCUGUCACCCAGGUUAGGGUACAAAGGCACAAUCACAGCUCACUGCAGCUUCAACCUCCCUGGCUCAAGUGAUCCUCUGGCCUCAGCUUCCCAAGAAGCUGGGAUUACAAGCGUGUGCCACCACAUUGAGCUAAUUUUUUUUUUUUUUUUUUUGAGGCAGUCUGCAGUCGCACGAUCUCUGCUCACUGCAACCUCUGCUUCCUGAGUUCAAGCAAUUUUCCUGUCUCAGCCUACCAAGUAGCUGGAAUCACAAGUGCGUGCCACCAUGCCUGGCUAAUUUUUGUAUUUUUAGUAGAGUUGGGGGUUUCACCAUUUUGGUCAGGCUGGUCUCAAACUCCUGACCUCGUGAUCCACCCACCUCGGCUUCCCAAAGUGUUGAGAUUACAGGUGUGAGACACCGUGCCCAGCCAGGUCCAAUUUUUUAAGAAUUGCUUUCUUCCCAGAGGAUCAAAAGCAGCUCAUAUAUAAUGACCCCGUUUUAUUCCUGACAUGCUUAAAAAUUCAUUUAUUUGCUCCUUGAGACAGUCAUUUGCUUUUUCAUUCAUUCACUUAUUUUUCACACAUUCAUUCAGCAGAUGUGUGCAAAUGAGAAAAGCUGGCAGUGGCAGGCAAUCUUGUACAUUCAGGACCUGAUUCCUGCCCUACACAAAGACAUAAAAAUCUUGCAAUCUUGUCCCGAAGAGGCGGCUAUCAUUCCCAAAGAAUAUCAAGGCCUUUAACCCACUGCCUGAGAGAGCCUGAUUGAAAUAGAAACCGUACUUUAGUUCUUCAGCAGGGCUUAUCUUGAAUGAUGCUGUGCCCUGCACAGCGCAUGACUCUCAACAGUGCAUGCUGAAUUGCGCAAGAGCAAGCCCGUGACCAUUUACCUUUGACAGAGUCUCCAUAAACACUCCAUGUACUUCCCUGAUCCCCCAAAAGCAUAAGUACACCUGGUUAUUCUGUUUAGCUCUACUUUGGAAGUGUAUAUUGUUUUUGUUUUUGUUUUUUUGAGACUGUCGCCAGGCUGGAGUGUAGUGGCAUGAUCUCGGCUCACUGCAACGUCUGCCCCCCGGGUUGGAGCGAAUCUCCUGCCUCAGCCUCCCGAGUAGCUGGGAUUGUAGGCAUGUGCCACCACACCCAGCUAAUUUUUGUGUUGUUUUUUUUUUUAAGACAGGGUUUCACCAUGUUAGUUAGGCUGGUCUUGAACUCCCCGACCUCAGGUGAUCUGCCCACCUUGGCCCCCAAAGUGCUUGGAUUACAGGUGUGAGCCACUAUGCCCGGCCAAUUUUUGUAUUUUUAGUAGAGACGGUUUCACCAUGUUGGCCAGGAUGGUCUCAAUCUCUUGACCUCAUGAUCCACUUGCCUCAGCCUCCCAAAGUGCUGGUAUAACAGGUCUGAGCCACUGGGCCCAGCUUGUUUUUGUUGUAGAGAUGGAGUCUUUUUUUUUCCUGAGAAAACAGUUUCGCUCUUGUUGCCCAGGCUGGAGUGCAGUGGCCUGAUCUCAGCUCACCCCAACCUCCACUACCUGGGUCCAAGUGAUUCUUCUGCCUCAGCCUCCUGAGUAGCUGGGAUUACAGGUGUGAGCCACCACAUCUGGCUUGUUUUGUAUUUUUAGAAGAGAUGGGGUUUCUCCAUUUUGGUCAGUCAGGUCUCAAACUCCCGACCUCAGGUGAUCCGUGCACCUCAGCCUCCCAAAGUGCUGGGAUUACAGGCGUGAGUCACCACGCCCAGCCUAGAGAUGGGAUCUUGCUCUGUCACUCAAGCUGGAAUGCAGUGGUGUGCUGAUGGCUCACUGUAACCAACUCCUGGGCCCAAAGGAUCUCCCUAUCUUAGCUUCCCAAAUAGCUGGACUGUGAGCACACAACACCAUGCCAUGCUAAUUCCUUUGUUUUAUUUUAUUUUAUUUAUUUCAUUUUUUUAUUGAGACAGAGUUUCUUGCUGCCCAGAUUGGAGUGCAAUGGUGCGAUCUCGGCUCACCACAACCUCUGCCUCCCGGGUUCAAGCGAUUAUCCUGCCUCAGCCUCCUGAGUAGCUGGGAUUACAGGUGCCGACCACCACGCCUGGCUAAUUUUGUAUUUUUAGUAGAGACGGGGUUUCACCAUAUUGGCCAGGCUGGUCUCAAACUCCUGAUCUCGUGAUCCGCCCACCUCCGCCUCCCAAAGUGCUGGGAUUACAGGUGUGAGCCACUGCGCCUGGCUUUUUUUUUUUUUUUAAGAGAUGGGGUCUUGCUGUGUUGCCCAGGUUAAUCUUGAACUCCUGAGCUCAAGCUAUCCCCCCACUUUGGCCUCCCAAAGCUCUGGGAUUAUAGACAUGAGUCACCACUCCUGGCUUUGGAAAUGUGUAUGUUGAUAUAAGCAUAUAAUCAAAGCAAUAACAUUAAUUCUUCCAAAGGAACUGCGGUGGAUAACGCAUGGCCCGGGCUUAGUGAGGUGCCCUGCUAGUCAACACCACCAUGUGCAUCUCUCUGAAGGGAACCACUUUCUCUGGCUGGAGUCGGCUUUGCCAGCAUGGUGAGAAUUGAGGGAGAAGUAGUAACAUCCUUCUAGCCCCAGCAAUUCUGUCUCUUCUUUUUUUUUUUUGAGAGGGAAUCUCACUCUUUCACCCAGGCUGGAGUGCAGUAGCAUGAUCUUGGCUCACUGCAGCCUCUGCCUUCCAGGUUCAAGCGAUUGUCUUGCCUCGGCCUCCCAGUAGCUGGGAUUACAGGCGUUUGCCACCAUGCCUGGCUAAUUUUUAUAUUUUUGAUAGAGAUGGGGUUUCAUCAUGUUGGUCAGGCUGGGCUCGAACUCCUGACCUCAGGUGAUCAGUCCGACUUGGCCUCUCAAAGUGCUGGGAUUACAAGUGUGAGCCACUGGGCCUGGUCUCUGUCUUCUUCUUUUUUUUUUUGAGACAGUGGUCUCACCCUGUUAACGAGGCUGGAGUGCAGUGGCAUGAUCACAGCUCACUGCAGCCUCCACCUUCUAGAUUCAAGUGAUCCUCCUACCUCAGCCUCCCAAGCAGCUCGGAUAUGUGUAUGCCACCAUACCUGGCUGAUUUUUGUAGUUUUUGUAGAGGUGGGGUUUCACCAUGUUGUUCAUGUUGGUCUUGAACUCCUAGGCUCAAGCAAUCUACCUGCUUUGGCCUCCCAAAGUGCUAGGAUUAUAGGUGUGAAAUAAUUCCUUAAUACCAAAUAUUCAGUGUUCAAAUAUUCCCGCUUAUCAUCAUCAUCAUUAAUCUAUUUACAUUUGUUUUAAAUAUGACCUAAGGCUGGGCGCGGUGGCUCACGCCUGUAAUCCCACCACUUUGGGAGGCCGAGGUGGGUGGAUCAUGAGGUCAAGAGAUCAAGACCAUCCUGGUCGAAAUGGUGAAACCCCAUCUCUACUAAAGCUACAUAAAAUUAGCCGGGCAUGGUGGCGCGUGCUUGUAAUCCCAGCUACUUGGGAGGCUGAGGCAGGAGAAUUGCCUGAACCCAGGAGGCGGAGGUUGCGGUGAGCUGAGAUCGCGCCAUUGCACUCCAGCCUGGGUAACAAGAGUGAAACUCCUUCUCAAAAUAAAUAAAUAAAUAGAUAAGACCUAAAAAAAGAUCCAUAUGUUUUGGUUGGUUAAUAUGACUCUUACGUUCCCUUUAAUCACUAGGUUCCCCCUUCUAAAAUCUGUUAUUCCUUGCAAUUUAUUGAAGAACAUUUGUCAUGUGUUCCUAUAUAGUUUCCUAAAAUCUGGAUUUAUGGCGGGGUGCAGUGGCUCACGCCUGUAAUCCCAGCACUUUGGGAGGCUGAGUUGGGCGGAUCACCGGGGGUCAGGAGUUCGAGACCAGCCUGGCCAACAUGGAGAAAGCCUGUCUCUAUUAAAAACAUAAAAUUAGCCGGAUGUGGUGGUAAUGCCUGUAAUCCCAGCUACUCGGGAGGCUGGGGCAGAAUUGUUUGAACCCGGGAGGCGGAGGUUGCGGUGAGCCGACAACUCUAACCUGGGCAAGGAGAGCAAAACUCUGUCUCAAAAAAGAAAAGGCCACAUCAUUCUGGUUUUUCUUUCCUAGUUUCUUUCUUUUUUGUUUCUGUUUUUGUUUUGAGACAGGGUCUCAGUCUGUCAUGCAGGCUGGAGUGGUGUGGCGGGAAUAUAACUCACCCCCCCCACCCCCGGCCUCCAGCGAUCCUCCGGCCUCAGUCCCCCGAGCAGCUGGGACUACAGGCACUUGCCCAAACACCCAGCUACAUUUUGCAUUUUUUGUAGAGAUGGAGUUUCUCCAUGUUGCUCAGGCUGUGAUAAUCUCUAACAGGGUUUAUAGGGGACCUUUUAAAUAUUGUCAUCACUCAGCAUCUUUUUCUUUCUUUUUUUUUCAUAUGGAGUCUUGCUCUGUCGCACAGGUUGGAGUGCAGUGGCAUGAUCUUGGCUCACUGCAAUCUCUGCCUCCUGGGUUCGAGUGAUUCUUCUUCCUCACUCUCCCAAGUAGUUGGGACUGCAGGCAUGUGCCACCACACCUGGCUAAUUUUUGUAUUUUUAGUAGAGAUUGGGUUUCACCAUAUUGGCCAGGCUGGUCUUGAAUUCCUGACCUCGUGAUCCGCCCGCCUCGGCCUCCCAAAAUGCUGGGAUUACAGGUGUGAGCCACCACAUCUGGCUUUUUUUUUUUUUUUUGAGGCAGUCUCCCUUUAUUGCCCAGGCUGGAGUGCAGUGGUGCGAUCUUGGGUCACUGCAACCUCCGCCUCCCGGGUUCAAGAGAUUCUUCUUUCCUCACCCUACCGAGUAGUUGGGAUUACAGGCUCCCGCCACCACACUGGGCUAAUUUUUGUAUUUUUAGUAGAGGCAGGGUUUCACAAUGUCUCGAACUCCUGACCUCGUGAUCUGCCCACCUGAGUCUCCCAAAGUGCUGGGAUUACAGGCGUGAGCCACCAUGCCCAGCCACCCAGAUUCUUUUGAAAACCCAUUCUAUGCGAAGACAUUAUGAGUUCUGCCUCCCCAAGUAGAAGAUAGACUCUUGUACCUAGCUUCCUGUGUAGCUAGCACUCCGGCAUACAGUGCAGGCUCGUCCAAUCAGACGCAGCUGGUAUCCAUUUAGAGGUGAGCUGUAUGAGGAUGAGAACUCUGCAGAGACACAAAGCUUUUGAGGGCAGUGGGAGCGGCUCUGGGAGGAGAGAUGCUUCUUGCACUUGUGAACUGCAGUACCUAGUGGUGGUGAAAAGCAGAGGCUCUGCUGAUAACAGUCCAGGAGCAAAAUUUGGGUAUUGUUCCUGGCUGUGUAGCCUCCAAGCCCAAUUCUCUAUCCCUCUCAGAGACUGUGUGAGUCAUUUAUAUCUUUAAGUACAUUCCUUGGCCGCUUAAACUAGUUAGAGUAGAUUCUGUUACUUGUAGCUAAGUUCCCUGACAAUUAUGGGGCUUCCAUGAUGUAGCUAAAUAUAGUGUCUUGGACAAGGAGGGGACAAAGUGCACCUGUAGCCUCUGGCCUUCCAGGCAGAUGAGAUAGUACAUUUUAUUAUUGUUUAUAUUACUCAGUUGGAUUUUCUGUUCUUUGUUCUUAAAAGCAUCCACGGCCAGGUGCAGUAACUCACGCCUGUAAUCCCAACACUUUGAGAGGCCGAGGUGGGUCACGUGAGGUCAGGAGUUUGAGACCAGCCUGGCCAACAUGGUGAAACCCUGUCUCUAUCAAAAAAUACAAAUAUAGGCCGGUCGUGGUGGCUCACCCUUGUAAUCCCAGCACUUUGGGAGGCCGAGGCGGGUGGAUCACGAGGUCAAGAGAUCAAGACCAUCCUGGUCAACAUGGUGAAACCCUGUCUCUACUAAAAAUACAAAAAAUUAGUUGGGUAUGGUGGCGCGCGACUGUAGUCCCAGCUACUCAGGAGGCUGAGGAGAAUUGCCUGAACCCAGGGAGGCGGAGGUUUCAGUGAGCUGAGAUCGCGCCAUUGUACUCCAGCCUGGGUAACAAGAGCGAAACUCUGUCUCAAAAAAAAAAUCCAUGGCCAGGUGCAGUAACUCACGCCUGUAAUCCCAACACUUUGAGAGGCUGAGGUAGGUCACUUGAGGUCAGGAGUUUGAGACCAGGCUGGCCAACAUGGUGAAACCCUGUCUCUAUCAAAAAAUACAAAUAUAGGCUGGGCAAGGUGGCUCACACCUGUAAUCCCAGUACUUUGGGAGGCUGAGGUGAGUGGAUCAUAAAGUCAAGAGAUCAAGACCAUCCUAGCAAACACGGUGAAACCCCGUCUCUACUUUUAAAAAUACAAAAAAAUUAGCUGAGUGUGGUGGUGCACAAAUGUAGUCCCAGCUAAUCGGGAGGCUGAGGCAGGAGGAUCACCUGAACCCAGGGGAGCGGAGGUUGCAGUGAGCUGAGCUCAUGCCACUGCACUCCAGCCCGCCGGCAGAGCAAGGCUCUGUCUUAAAAAAAAAAAAUAAUUAGCUGGGCAUGGUGGUGGGUGCCUGUAAUCCCAGCUACUUGGGAGGCUGAGGCAGGAGAAUCGCUUGAACCCAGAGGCAGAGGUUGUAGUGAGGCAUCAUGCCACUGCACUCCAGCCUCGGUGACAGCGAGACUCCAUCUCAAAAAAAAAGGCAUCCAGAUUGAUUCCAUGAGCAUCUUCAGUGUCUGGCUGCAUUUAGGAUAUGCUCAACACAUGUUCAUUCAUAAUCACCUUUUUAAAAUGACCUGAUAAUUCACAUACAAUUUUAUGAGUUUUGACAUGAAAACAUCACCCGUUAAGAUAAUUAACCUCUCCAUUGCACCUAAAUGUUUCUUUGUGCCUUGCUGCAAUCUUUCCCUCUUUCCUUUCACCUCAUCCACUUUCUGAUCCCCUUUCUGCCACUUUCUAGAAUUUUUGUUUGUUUGUUUGUUUGUUUGUUUGAGAUGGAGUUUUGCUCUUGUUGCCCAGGCUGCAGUGCAGUGGUGCGAUCUCAGCUCACUGCAACCUCUGCCUCCCAGGUUCAAGCUAUUCUCCUGCCUCAGCCUCCUGAGAAGCUGGGAUUAGAGGCGCUACCAUCAUGCCUGGCUAAUUUUUGUACUUUUAGUAGAGAUAGGGUUUCACCGUGUUGGCCAGGCUCAUUUCCAACUCCUGACCUCAGGUAAUCCACCUGCCUUAACCUCCCAAAGUGCAGGGAUUACAGGCGUGAGCCACCGAGCCUGGCCUUCUAGAAUUUUUUUAUAAAUCAAAGAAAACGUGUGUACUCUCUUUGGUCUUCUUUCACUCAGCAUAAUUUUUUUUUUUUUUUGAGACAGAGUUUUGCUCUUGUUGCCCAGGCUGGAGUGCAAUGGCACAAUCUCGGUUUACCACAACCUCCACUUCCUGGGUUCAAGCGGUUCUCCUGCCUCAGCCUCCCGAGUAGCUGGGACUACAGGCCACCACACCUGGUUAAUUUUGUAUUUUUUGUAGAGGCAGGGUUUCUCCAUGUUGGUCAGGCUGGUCUCCUAACUCCCCACCUCAGAUGAUCUGCCUGCCUCAGGCUCCCAAAGUGCGAGGAUUACAGACGUGAACCACUGCACCUGGCCAUUUAUUUAUGUGUUUAUUUUUGAGACUGAGUCUCAGUUUGUUGCCUAGGCUGGAGUGCAGUGGUGCAGUCGCUGCUUAUUGCAACCUCCGCCUCUUGGGUUCAAGCAAUUCUCCUGCCUUAGCGUCCAUAGUACCUGGGACUACAAGCGCCUGCCACCACACCUGGCUAAUUUUAGUAUUUUUAGUGGAGACGGGGUUUCACUAUGUUGUGUAGACUGGUCUCAAACUCCUGAUAUCAGGUGAUCUGCCUGCCUUGAUUUCCCAAAGUUCUGGGAUUAUAGGUGUGAACCACUGUGCCCAGCCAUUUCUUUAUUUUUAAUUAAUUAAUUAUUAUGAUUUUUUAGGGGGACAGAGUCUUGCUGCCUCCCAGGCUGGAGUAUAGUGGUAAAGUCAUGGCUCACCGCAGCCUCACAUUCCUGGGUUCAAGCAAGCCUCCUGUUUCAGCCUCCCAGGUAGCUGAGGCUACAGGCACAUACUACCACACCUGGCUGAUUUUGAAAUGUUUUGUAGAGACAGGGGUCUGACUACAUUGCCCAGGCUGGCAUAAUUAUUUUAAGAUUCAUUCCUGUUGUUGCAAACCACUGGGUUUGUCCAUUUAUUUAUUUAGUGACAGAGUCUCACUCUGUUGCCCAGGCUGGAGUGCAAUGGCAUGAUCUCGGCUCACUGCAACCUCUACCUCUCGGGUUCAAGCAACUCUCCUGCCUCAGCCUCCCCCGUAGCUGGGAUUAUAGGCACCCAUCACCACGCCAGGCUAAUUUUUGUAUUUUUAGUAGAGACAGGGUUUCACCAUGUUAGCCAGGCUGGUCUUGAAUUCCUGACCUCAGGGGAUCCACCCACCUAGGCCUCCUAAAAUGCUGAGAUUGCCGGUGUGAGCCACUUCGCCUGGCCGCCGCUGCUGCUUAAAGUCUGCUGGGACUACAGGCGCAUGCCACCAAGCUAACCAGCUGCAUUGGAACCACUUGGGGACACCUGUUAAUAUGUAGCUUUCUGGACCCAAGCCUGUCUUCUUGCAGGUGAGGUCCCAAGAAGGGAAGUGACUUCUUCAGGGAGUCAGGGCUCACCUCGGACAGGAACUCAAGUCCUCUGAUUCCAAGCUAGGAAGAAAAGUAGGGGGAAUGAGGAACAGGAAGUGUGUCCAGCUUUGACUCCUCUGUUUCCUAUGUAUUUUUCCUUUGGCUUCAAAUAUUAAGAGAAAGACCCAGUACUUUGGAACAAGGUGGCUUCCUGCCGAGGCUGGGUCUUAUGUGUAAUCCGAGGGCUCAGAUUGCUGUGGGCGGCAUCUCGGGUUUCUCAGCCACCUGCACAGACAUCCUCUGUUAAAGAAGGAAACCUGGACCAGGGACGGUGGCUCACGCCCGUAAUCCCAGCACUUUGGGAGGCCGAGGCAGGUGGAUCACGAGGUCAGGAGUUCGAGACCAUCCUGGCCAACAUGGUGAAACCCCGUCUCUACUAAAAAUACAAGAAUUAGCUGGGCGUGAUGGCUAAUUAAAAAUACACGAAUUAGCUGGGCGUGUGCCUGGAGUCCAGCUACUGGGGAGGCUGAAGCAGGAAAAUCACUUGAAUCUGGGAGGCAGACGUUGCAGUGAGCUGAAAUUGUGCCACUGCACUACAGCCUGGGCAACAGAGUGAGACUCUGUCUUAAAAAAAAAAAGAUAAUAUUUGAUGGCAUGUAAGGGCAUAAUAUAAAAUGGCAUUGUUAAAAUGAGGGUGCAGCGCCCAUCCCCUGAGGGACAGGGUCAUUUCUCUGGCCCGGAGCAGGUGCCCAUAGGCAAAGCUGCAUCUGCCUGGACUGGAGGAGCCUGCCCGGCCCCUGCUAGCUUCUGCCGUGUCAACUCCCCAGGCCUUGGCAGCUUCUCCUGCCUCCGCCCACUGACGCCCUAAGCUGGCCCAGGGGUGGAGCUGAAGCCUGGCCUGUCUCUGGCUUCCUCCUUACUCUGUCAGGCUCUGCCUAGUUUACCUGUCUGCCUGGACUCUCCUACCCACCUUUCUGUGCCCAUUCAAAGAAGGCAACUCUUGUAACAGGCUGGAGCCAGGAUCCUGCCUACCAGCUCCUUUCCUGAGCCAGGCCUCCUUUUUUUUUUUUUGAAAGUCUCGCUCUGUCGCCAGGCUGGAGUGCAGUGAUGCCAUCUUGGCUCACUGCAGCCUCCGCCUCCCAGGUUCAAGCGAUUCUCCUACCUCAGCCUCCUGAGUAGCUGGGACUACAGGCGCACGCCACCAAGCUAAGCUGAUUUUUUUGUAUUCUUAGUAAAGAUGGGGUUUCACCUUGUUGGCCAGGCUGGUCUGGAACUCCUGACCUCAUGAGCUGCCAGCCUUGGCCUCCCAAAGUGCUGGGAUUACAGGCAUGAGCCACAGUGUCCGGCACAUAAUUUAUUUAACCAGCCACCAUGCAGUUCCAAACUUUAGCUGUGAAAGCAAUGCUGCAGUGAAUGUGCUGGUGCUUAUGAUACAUGUCUGGGGUUUUGUGUACGUUAGUGUACAUUCCUGAAGUGGGAUUACUGGAACAAAGAAUGUGUGUAUUUCAUUUUUUGAUAGAGAUUACCAGUUUGCCCCCCAAAGGGGUUGUACCAAUUAACUUUCCCACCAACAAUGUUUGGUACUGCCUGUUUCAGGCACAUUCACCUCCAGCCUGGGCAACAUGGUGAAACCCCAUCUGUACAAAAAACACAAAAAUGAGCUGGGCAUGAUGUACCUCAACCUGGGAGGCUGAGGUAGGAGGAUCGAGGGAGCAUAGGAAGUCAGGCUGUAGUGAGCCAUGAUGGCGCUGCUGCACUCUAGCCUGGGGACAGAGGGAGACCCUAUCUCAAGCAAACAAACAAAAACCAAAGGACUCCUUCACCCACUUGAGUUAUUUAGUUUUGUUUGUUUUGCUGAUCUGAUAAGUGGAAUGUUCUUUCUCACAGUUUUAACGUACAUUUAAAAAACAUCCCCUGCCAGGCCGAGGUGGCUCACGCCUAUAAUCCCAGUACUUUGGGAGGCCGAGGCGGGCAGAUCAUCUGAGGCCAGGAGUUUGAGACAAACCUGGCCAACAUGGUGAAAGUGUGUCUCUACUAAAAAUACAAAAAUUAGCCGGGCAUGGUGUUGGGCACCUGUAAUCCCAGCUACUCAGUAGACUGAGAAAGGAGAAUCACUUGAGCCUGGCAGGCAGAGGUUGCAGUGAGCUGAGAUGGCGCCACUGCACUCCAGACUGUGUGACAGAGUGACACUGUCUCAAAAUAAAAUAAAAUAGGCCUGCCACAUUGGCUUACGCCUGUAAUCCCAGUACUUUGGAAGGCCGAGGUAGGCAGAUCACCUGAGAUCGGGAGUUUGAGACCAGCCUGAUCAAUAUGAUGAAACCCCGUUUCUGCCAGAAAUACAAAAAUUAGCUGGCUGUGGUGGCACAUGCCUGUAGUCACAGCUACUUGGGAGGCCGAGACAGGAGAAUUGCUUGAACUUGGGAGGCAGAGGUUGCAGUGAGCCGAGAUCACACCACUGCACUCCAGCCUGGGCAACAAGAGCAAAAUUACCUCUCAAAAUAAAUAAAAUAAAAAAUAAGACUGGGUGUGGUGGCUCACGCCCAUCCAAGCACUUUGGAGGCCAAGGUGGGCGGAUCACCUGAGGUUAGGAGUUCAAGACCAGCCUCACCAAACAUGGUGAAACCCCGUCUUUUAAGAAAAAAAUUUUUUUUAAAUUUAAUUUUACAAUUUAAAAAAUAAAAUAAAUAAUUGAAAUUGAAAAAAUAGUAAAGAAUUAAAAAAUAAUAAAAAAUAAAAUUUAAAAAAUAAAUAAUAAAACAUCUCCCCUCCCCCUUAGUAUACAUUUUUCAUAGAUUGGCUGCGUGUGGUGGCUCACGCCUAUAAUCCCACCACUUUGGAAGGCCAAGGCUGGUGGAUCACCUGAGGUCAGUUCGAAACCAGCAUGACCAACAUGGUGAAACCCCAUCUUUACUAAAAACACAAAAUUAGCCAGGUGUGGUGGCGAAUCCCUGUAAUCCCAGCUACUCAGGAGGCUGAGGCAGGAGAAUUGCUUGAACCCAGGAGGCGAAGGUUGCUGUGGGCCGCGAUUGUGCCACUGUAUUCCAGCCUGGGCAACAAGAGCAAAACUCCAUCUCAAAAAAAAAAGCCUCUACGAAAGAAACCCAGAGGCCAGUCUGUAAGUAGAGUGGGCUCUGGCCCGGCCCCAGGCUGAGGUACUGUGCCUCUCCUCCUCUCCCUGCAGAUGAGAUGGCCUGGCAGCCUGGACCCUUGGCCCUCCCAGGGGCUGUCUUCCUCACCCCCUCACCUGGGAUGAGGAGCAGUUUAUCUGGGGAGACUGGAGGAGGUGUGCUUUAUUCAGACCCCUGGUUUGUCCUGCUUUUCUCUCCCUGAGGGCUGGGACUUGGCCUCUGAGGCUGAGCAGGCAGAUUUGUGCAGGGCAAUGGCAGGAUGAGACCUGAUUUUAUUGGAACUGGGCUGGAAUGGGGAGGGAUCGGGGAGGAGGCUGCAGCAGGUCUGGAGAGUGAGAAUGAGCAAGCUGAGCAGCGGGAGGGACCCAGAGAUCUCAGAGAUGGCCCCACUGGGGCUGAUGGGCUGAGGAAGAAGAGGGGGAGAAGCAGACAGGCAACCCCAGGGAGAGGGGGGUAAUUUCAGGGGGAUGGUGGGUGAGUUGGAGGUUGUCUGUGGGAUGGACCAAGGACGUGAAGAAAUGUUUGUUGGAUGAAUGUCCUCCCAGAGGCUAAAGGAAUGGAGUAGUCACAUGCCCAACCCUGGGAUGUGAAUGUGGCCAGUCCGGCCACAGCAGGUUAAACCACCUCUGGGGUGUGUCCUCUCCCGGCUUUCCGCAGUCUGGUUCCUUGGAGGCUAAUGAACACAGGUGUCCCACUUGGUGGUGCUCCUUCUGCUGCUGUCUUUUGGCUCAGGGAUGGGUGGGUUGGGAAGUGGGUACUGACAGAUGGAGGGCGUGCUAUGGAGGCUGGAGGCUGGAGACUGGGGCCAGUGGAGCCCAGCCCUCAUCCAGGCUUUCAGAGUGUGUUUGCUGCUUGGCCUACUACGAUCAGCAGAUAGGGAACCAGGCCAGGAGGUGUUCUAGAUCUGUGCCUUGGUGUUCUAGAUUCUUCUCCUCCUUUGGCUCAUGUUUCCUUUUUCUUUUUCUUUAUUUUUUUUUUUUUUGAGGCAGAGUCUCACUCUGUCACCCAGGCUGGAGUGCAGCAGCAUAAUCUUGGCUCACUGCAACCUUCAUCUCCCAGGUUCAAGCCAUUCUUAUGCCUCAGCCUCCCUGGCCUACAUUUCUUCCAGUGGCUCUUGCCCAAUCCCAAAUGAAGACUUCUCAAAGGGGCAGCAAGAACUCCCAUUCUAAUCAUUUUAACCUCUUUUCUUAGGAUUGCCAGAUAAAAUACAGAAUACUCAGUUACCAGCCUGGGCAACAUGGCAAAACCCAUCUCUACAAAAAAAAAAAAAAAUUAGCCAGGCAUGGUAGCUUGUACUUGCAGUCCUAUCUUCUUGGGAGGCUGAGGUGUAUGGAUCACUUGAUCCCAGGAGGUUGAGCCUUCAGUGAACCAUGAUUAUGCCACUGUACUCCAGCCUGGGCCACAGGGUGAGACACUGUCUCAAAAGAAAAAAAAAGGGACACAGUUAAAUUUGAAUUUCAGAUAAUAAAUUAUUAUUAUUAAUUAUUAUUUGAGAUGGAGUUUCACUCUUGUUGUCCAGGCUGGAGUGCAAUGCCACAAUCUCAGCUCACUGCAACCUCUGCCUCCCAGGUUCAAGUGAUUCUCCUUUCUCAGCCUCCCGAGUAGCUGGGAUCACAGAUGCACGCCACCAUGCCCAGCUAAUUUUUGUAUUUUGCCUAGAGACAGGGUUUCAUCAUAUUGGUCAGGCUGGUCUCUCCUGACCUCAGGUGAUCCACUCAUCUCAGCUUCCCAAAGUGCUGGGAUUAUAGGUGUGAGCCACUGUGCCCGGCUUAUUAUUAUUAUUAUUAGAGACAGAGUCUCACUCUGUUGCUCGGGCUAGAGUGCAGUGGCGUGAUAUUGGUUUACUGCAACCUCUGCCUCAGGUGAUCUGCCUGCCUUGGGCUCCCAAAGUGCUGGGAUUAUAGGCGUGAACCAUCACACCCGGCCGAUUUUUCAGUGUAAGUAUAGUCCAAAUACUGCAUGGGAUAUAAUUAUACAAAAAAAUUUAGCUGCUUAUUUGAAAUUCAGAUGUAACUGUGUGUAUGUAUUUUUAUUUGUGGAAUCUGGCAGCCUUGCCAGUUCCUCCAUCACGGUUCCAGACAGCCACUGCCACCUGGUCCUGGUCCUGUGGAGCACCAGCACAACUGCCACUCUAAAGGGCACUGCGGACUCUCCCUCCAUCAUCUCACAGAUGGUCACAUGGCAGCUCUCGAAUGAGGGUGUUCACUUAUCUUUCACAAAUGAGAAAACGGAGACUCCAAGAAGCCAAGCGACCUGCAUGAGGGCAAACGGUAACCAAGGCGCAGGAGAACAUCCAGCCUUUGCCAGUCUGACUCCAAAGUUCAAGUGCAUAGAUGCACACCCCAGGUAGCUUGGCAAAGCACCCACUUUUUGAGCAGGAAGGCCUUCACCCUGCCGUUCACACAGGAGGAACAAGACAAAUAGCAUGCAGACCCCCAGGCACAGGAAGGAUGAGAUUCAGUGCUAGAAUAUUCGAAGUGAUUUUGAAACCAAGUGCCUCUUGGUAAUAACAAUCUCAGCAUCCGUCAUGCAUAACUUUCUUUUAUGCAUAAUGGUUAACAAAAGGUAUCUCCAGCAGUUAAUUAGAAUGACAAAGAAGGCAGAUGGAAGUGGGGCAUCGGUGGCUCACGCCUGUAAUCCCAGCACUCAGAGACCAAGGCAGUUGGCUCACCUGAGGUCAGGAGUUAGAGACCAGCCUGGCCAACCUGGUGAAAACUCAUCUCUACUGAAAAUACAAAAAAUUAGUUGGGUGUGGUGACGCUCCCUGUAAUCCCAGUUACUCGGGAGGCUGAGGCAGGAGAAUCGCUGCAAUCCGGGAGGUGAAGGUUGCAGGGAACUGAGAUCGUGCCACUAUACUCCAGCCUGGGCAGCAAGAGCGAGACUCCAUCUCAAAAACAACAGCAACAAAACAGAAACAAACAAAGAAGGCACAUGGGAGAGAGAACGAGGCCUGUAGGGUUUCUCGGCAGAUGCUGGGAGGUUUCCUGUGCUCCCGCCCGGACUUGCGGGGGUGGGUGGGUGCUGGGCAGACCCUUCUGGGCCUGCCGGAGCUUCCAGGAGCUUCUAGAUGAGGGUCUCGGACCACCGGCUCUGAGCGUGGGUCUGGCCUCGGUUCCAGUGGCCGAUUCCAGCUCUGCCUGCUGGCCCCCAUUGGGUGCAAACAUGCAUGGUUUACAGUUCCUGACACCACCUGCCUGACUGUAUUCCAGUGUCAGUGAGAGAAGUGUCAACCAGUCUCUGCUCUCAGCGAGCGUCUGAAAGACAACAGAUCCUCUGAGGGAGGGAGCUGGGAGCCCAGGCCCUCAAGAUGGGUUUGGGGUAAGCUGGAGAGGAGGGGCUUGGGACACCUGUGUGUGUGGGGAGUCCGGGGUGGGUAGGACGUUGGGCAGGAUGAGACUUAUGUAAAUCAAAUCUCAUCUGGUUGAGGGUCUUUUACCUCUGUUUUGAUCUGCGUUGGAAGAGACUGCCGAAUGCUUCAGUUUCUGAGUUUUU